rnacentral:rRNA from 1 species
AACGAACGCUGGCGGCAGGCCUAACACAUGCAAGUCGAGCGGACCCUUCGGGGUUAGCGGCGGACGGGUGAGUAACGCGUGGGAAUAUGCCCUUCUCUACGGAAUAGUCCUGGGAAACUGGGGGUAAUACCGUAUACGCCCUUUGGGGGAAAGAUUUAUCGGGGAAGGAUUAGCCCGCGUUGGAUUAGGUAGUUGGUGGGGUAAUGGCCUACCAAGCCGACGAUCCAUAGCUGGUUUGAGAGGAUGAUCAGCCAAACUGGGACUGAGACACGGCCCAGACUCCUACGGGAGGCAGCAGUGGGGAAUCUUAGACAAGGGGGGCAACCCUGAUCUAGCCAUGCCGCGUGAGUGAUGAAGGCCUUAGGGUUGUAAAGCUCUUUCAGCUGGGAAGAUAAUGACGGUACCAGCAGAAGAAGCCCCGGCUAACUCCGUG